rnacentral:lncRNA from 1 species
UUAGAAAUGGGUUCUCUGAAUGAGGCCCUGGGUUCAAACCCCAAUACCCGGGGAAACAAGAUAGAAAUGGGUUCUCCAUGUGUGAUGGUGCAGUCUGAUUACUGAGCCUCUCACCACCAGCCUCUUACCACCUCGGACACGGGGAUUAUGGAUCCUUGUGAAAGAAGACGAAGGGCCUUGGUAUGAGAGAGAAGGAAAGAGAAGGAACUCAUUCUGGCUCUCCAGAGGGUGAUGGACAUGUGCCUCCUGAAGGCAUGCGCCCCUGUACGCGACUCACAGACGAGACCUUGCUUUGAAGGAGAGCGAUGGAGGAGUGGAGGCUCCGAGUCGACUCUCCUGAGGAGAGGUUGUGCUGUCUGGGAGGGACAGGUCCCUCUGGGUGAGAGUCUGAGGCCUGCUGGGCUCCCUGGGACAGAACCUACUCCGUGAAAUAUUUCAUGCAGAAGAAAUGAACAAUACCAAAAACUCAGCAGAGCUGUCUUGUAUCUUUUGGGAUAAGAGGCAGAUGGCAGUGAGGGGGACAGGCAUCUGUGAAAAGGUUGGCCCAGAGACCCUGUG